GAGUAGUAAUAGUUAUGUUCUUGAAACUUAAAUAAUUUGGCGGUAUUUUAAUCUAUUCAGAGGAACCUGUUCUAUAAUCGAUAAUCCACGAGGACUUUACUUAAGCUAGUUUACAAUUUGUAUACCGCCGUUAUUGAUUAUCUUGGAAGAGGAAUAAUUUUCUUGAUUUUUUAAAAGUAUAUCAGGUCAAGGUGCAGUUUAUGUUUAAGGAAGAAAUGGGUUACAAUAAAUAUAUUUAAAUGGAUGUAUGGUUGAAAUAUUAUACUGAAGGUGGAUUUGGUAGUAAAAUUAUGAAUUUAGUUAAUUUGAUUAUAGCUCUAAAAUAUGU
rnacentral:rRNA from 1 species